rnacentral:rRNA from 1 species
UACAGGAGAUGCAAGCGUUAUCCGGAAUUAUUGGGCGUAAAGCGUCUGUAGAUGGUUUAAAAAGUUUGGUGUUAAAUAUUAAAGCUUAACUUUGAAAUGGCAUCAAAAACUCUUAGACUUGAGUGCAAUAGGGGUAGGGGGAAUUUUCAGUGUAGCGGUGAAAUGCGUAGAGAUUGAAAAGAACACCAAUGGCGAAAGCACCCUACUGGGUUGAUACUGACAUUGAGAGACGAAAGCUAGGGGAGCAAAAAGG